UUCCUUCAGGUUGAUGAGGGGAGAGAGAUCAGUUGAACCUCUUCCUUCAGGUUGAUGAGAGAGAUCAGUUGAACCUCUUCCUUCAGGUUGAUGAGAGAGGUCAGUUGAACCUCUUCCUUCAGGUUGAUGAGGGGAUAGAGGUCCAGUUGAACUCUCUCCUUCAGGUUGAUGAGGGGAGAGAGGUCAGUUGAACCUCUUCCUUCAGGUUGAUGAGGGGAGAGAGGUCAGUUGAACCUCGUCCUUCAGGUGAUGAGGGAGAGAGGUCAGUUGAACCUCUUCCUUCAGGUUGAUGAGGGGAGAGAGGUCAGUUGAACCUCGUCCUUCAGGUUGAUGAGAGGUGAGAGGUCAGUUUGAACCUCUUCCUUCAGGUUGAUGAGGGAGAGAGGUCAGUUGAACCCGUCCUUCAGGUUGAUGAGAGGUGAAGAGGUCAGUUGAACCUCUUCCUUCAGGUUGAUGAGGGGAGAGAGGUCAGUUGAACCUCUUCC
rnacentral:lncRNA from 1 species